GAUGAACGCUGGCGGCGUGCCUAAUACAUGCAAGUCGAGCGAACAGAUGAGGAGCUUGCUCCUCUGACGUUAGCGGCGGACGGGUGAGUAACACGUGGAUAACCUACCUAUAAGACUGGGAUAACUUCGGGAAACCGGAGCUAAUACCGGAUAAUAUAUUGAACCGCAUGGUUCAAUAGUGAAAGAUGGUUUUGCUGUCACUUAUAGAUGGAUCCGCGCCGCAUUAGCUAGUUGGUAAGGUAACGGCUUACCAAGGCAACGAUGCGUGGCCGACCUGAGAGGGUGAUCGGCCACACUGGAACUGAGACACGGUCCAGACUCCUACGGGAGGCAGCAGUAGGGAAUCUUCCGCAAUGGGCGAAAGCCUGACGGAGCAACGCCGCGUGAGUGAUGAAGGUCUUCGGAUCGUAAAACUCUGUUAUUAGGGAAGAACAAAUGUGUAAGUAACUAUGCACGUCUUGACGGUACCUAAUCAGAAAGCCACGGCUAACUACGUG
rnacentral:rRNA from 1 species